GCCAGUGUGGCGUAGUGGUUUGAGUGUUGGACUGCUACUCUGGGGACCAGGGUUCGAUCCCCAGCUUGGCCA
rnacentral:tRNA from 1 species